rnacentral:rRNA from 2 species
AAUCCAUAGGUUAAUGAGGCGAACCGGGGGAACUGAAACAUCUAAGUACCCCGAGGAAAAGAAAUCAACCGAGAUUCCCCCAGUAGCGGCGAGCGAACGGGGAGGAGCCCAGAGCCUGAAUCAGCAUGUGUGUUAGUGGAAGCGUCUGGAAAGGCGCGCGAUACAGGGUGACAGCCCCGUACACAAAAGCGCAUGUGCUGUGAGCUCGAUGAGUAGGGCGGGACACGUGGUAUCCUGUCUGAAUAUGGGGGGACCAUCCUCCAAGGCUAAAUACUCCUGACUGACCGAUAGUGAACCAGUACCGUGAGGGAAAGGCGAAAAGAACCCCGGCGAGGGGAGUGAAAAAGAACCUGAAACCGUGUACGUACAAGCAGUGGGAGCCCCACCACCAAAGCAUUUGCUGUACCGCGUUGACGGAGCGAAGCGACGUCAAACCGAUAAAACAGCAGUGUAAAGUGAGCCGCAGGGCGCU